rnacentral:ncRNA from 13 species
UGACCUCGAAUCAGGU